GAGGGGAGGUUAAACCAACGAGAACUGCUAAUUCUUGCAUCUGAGCAUAAAACCUCAGUCCCCUUG
rnacentral:tRNA from 1 species